rnacentral:tRNA from 1 species
UGGCUCAGACAGUAAAGCGUCUGCCUGCAAUGCAGGAGACCUGGGUUCGAUUCCUGG